GAAUUCAGCUUCAACCUGGAAGUUCCCCAACUUCCCAGCAGCUAAAAACCAACAGGUUGAAGGGAUUGCUAUAAUGUCAGCAAAUCCAAAAGCUUCCCCUCCAAAGAAAUCUCUCUCUCCAAGGCCUCCCUCUAGCACUUUUAAUAUCUCUAUCAACUCCUUCUUGGCUGCCUCCGUGGCUUCUCCUUUGCUCAGCACAACAUCUCGAACGGCAUCAAAUAGCUGCCCAAUAAACAAACCAAAUUUGUCAUUUAUGAAUAUUAGUUAGGCUUUUGAUAAUGGCAUCUACAAUUGAGGACCAUAAGUUCAUGGUGCAAGAAACAAAACAAUCUCACAGUCAAUGAUCUAGAUUAUACAGUCACAUCACUCGCAGCAAUUAUGCUUAGGAUUUUCCAAGAAAUGAAACCUUUUUGUCUAUGUAAUCAGCCCAGAAGCGAGCUUGAGCGCGUCCAUAGGGACAAGGUGG
rnacentral:misc_RNA from 1 species